rnacentral:rRNA from 1 species
AACGAACGCUGGCGGCAUGCCUAACACAUGCAAGUCGAACGAAGGCUUCGGCCUUAGUGGCGCACGGGUGCGUAACGCGUGGGAAUCUGCCCUUUGCUUCGGAAUAACAGUUAGAAAUGACUGCUAAUACCGGAUGAUGUCGCAAGACCAAAGAUUUAUCGGCAAAGGAUGAGCCCGCGUAGGAUUAGCUAGUUGGUGGGGUAAAGGCCUACCAAGGCGACGAUCCUUAGCUGGUCUGAGAGGAUGAUCAGCCACACUGGGACUGAGACACGGCCCAGACUCCUACGGGAGGCAGCAGUGGGGAAUAUUGGACAAUGGGCGAAAGCCUGAUCCAGCAAUGCCGCGUGAGUGAUGAAGGCCUUAGGGUUGUAAAGCUCUUUUACCCGGGAUGAUAAAGACAGUACCGGGAGAAUAAGCUCCGGCUAACUCCGUG